rnacentral:rRNA from 1 species
AGUGAACGUUGGCGGCGUGGAUUAGACAUGCGAGUCGAGCGAGAACCGUAGCAAUACGGGGACAGCGGCGAAAGGGAUAGUAAUAUGUAGUUACAUACCCUGGGGUCCGGGAUAGCUGCGGGGAACUGCAGGUAAUACCGGAUGACAUCUCCGGAUCAAAGCUGUGAUUCCGCUCGUGGAGGGGGCUGCAUCCUAUUAGCUUGUUGGUGGUGUAACGGCCUACCAAGGCGACGCUGGGUAGCGGGUGUGAGAGCAUGACCCGUGUCAUUGGGACUGAGACACUGCCCAGACACCUACGGGUGGCUGCAGUCGAGUAUCUUCGGCAAUGGGGGCAACCCUGACCGAGCGACGCCGCGUGCGGGAAGAAGGCCUUCGGGUUGUAAACCGCUGUCGUAGAGGAGGAAAUGCAGGGGGGUUCUCCCCUCUGUUUGACCUAUUCUAGGAGGAAGGACGGGCUAAGUUCGUGCCAGCCGCCGCCGUAA